rnacentral:hammerhead_ribozyme from 1 species
AUCCAGCUGUAUAAUCCCAAAUAGGAUGAAAUGCGCAUCCUGGAU